GCGCGAAACCUCCGCAAUGCGAGCAAUCGCGACGGGGGGACCCCAAGUGCCACUCUUAACGGGGUGGCUUUUCUGAAGUGUAAAAAGCUUUAGGAAUAAGGGCUGGGCAAGACCGGUGCCAGCCGCCGCGGUAAUACCGGCGGCUCGAGUGGUGGCCACUAUUACUGGGCUUAAAGCGUUCGUAGCUGGUUUGUUAAGUCUCUGGGGAAAUCUUCCGGCUCAACCGGAAGGCGUCUCAGGGAUACUGGCAGACUAGGGACCGGAAGAGGUGAGAGGUACUCCAGGGGUAGGAGUGAAAUCCUGUAAUCCUUGGGGGACCACCUGUGGCGAAGGCGUCUCACCAGGACGGCUCCGACAGUGAGGGACGAAAGCUGGGGGAGCAAACCGGAUUAGAUACCCGGGUAGUCCCAGCCGUAAACGAUGUGCGUUAGGUGUAUCGGUGACCACGAGUCACCGAGGUGCCGAAGAGAAAUCGUGAAACGUACCGCCUGGGAAGUACGGUCGCAAGGCUAGAAACUUAAAGGAAUUGGCGGGGAGCACCACAACAGGUGGAGCCGUGUAC
rnacentral:rRNA from 1 species